GUGCUCGCUUCAGCAGCACAUAUACUAAAAUUGGAACGAUACAGAGAUUAGCAUGGCUCCCGGGCAAGGGUGACAUGCAAAUUUGUGAAGGGUUCCAUAUUAAA